GCGAUGACUCUGAGACCGUUCGUGCACGUUUAAGAGCUGCAUCUGCUUCCUGCUCUCCUCUGCUGCCUCCUUGUCCUCAAACAAUUGGAACAGUGAAGGUAUUAUUGUCAUGAGCAAUAAGCCGAGCCAACACUGCAUACCAAGACGGGAUUGCUCAGCACCUGUAUCCCAACAUUCAUUUCGGCAUCCAAUGAUGGUUGGAUUUCAAAAGCCGACUGCUUUGAAUGCCCGUUGCGAAAAACACGCUACAAUGGCAGAGGAAAACCACAAUCGCCACAGCUGAAGUGAUGACUAUCACCUACACACAACGGUGAAGAAUAUUUUCAGAGAAUGCAUCCUGGUGAAGUAGGCUACAACAGAGAGAAAAGUGUGUUCUUCCUGCUUAUGGCACCCUUCAGAGAGAAACAUGAGGGACUCAUUUUGAUAUGCCCUGACUCAAUGACUGAGUAGCCUACGGCAAUUGCCUAUGAAUUUGCACAAGCUGGGCAGAAGUGGCUGCGCUACGGCCCAGACCGGGCGGGAGGAGCUGGACGACCAACACUACAGGAGUUAGCGCGUUAAAAGAAAAAAAAAAUACAAUAAAAACGAUUGUUUCAUUUUUUUUU